rnacentral:rRNA from 1 species
AGUGAACGCUGGCGGUAGGCCUAACACAUGCAAGUCGAACGGCAGCACAGUAAGAGCUUGCUCUUACGGGUGGCGAGUGGCGGACGGGUGAGGAAUACAUCGGAAUCUACUUUUUCGUGGGGGAUAACGUAGGGAAACUUACGCUAAUACCGCAUACGACCUACGGGUGAAAGUAGGGGAUCUUCGGACCUUGCGCGAUUGAAUGAGCCGAUGUCGGAUUAGCUAGUUGGCGGGGUAAAGGCCCACCAAGGCGACGAUCCGUAGCUGGUCUGAGAGGAUGAUCAGCCACACUGGAACUGAGACACGGUCCAGACUCCUACGGGAGGCAGCAGUGGGGAAUAUUGGACAAUGGGCGCAAGCCUGAUCCAGCCAUACCGCGUGGGUGAAGAAGGCCUUCGGGUUGUAAAGCCCUUUUGUUGGGAAAGAAAAGCAGCAGGUUAAUACCCCGCUGCUCUGACGGUACCCAAAGAAUAAGCACCGGCUAACUUCGUG